rnacentral:rRNA from 1 species
CGGCGACCGGCGCACGGGUGAGUAACACGUAUCCCACCUUCCGUUUACUCGGGGAUAGCCUUUCGAAAGAAAGAUUAAUACCCGAUAGUAUGGUGAGAUUGCAUGAUAACCCCAUUAAAGAUUCAUUGGUAAACGAUGGGGAUGCGUUCCAUUAGGUAGUAGGCGGGGUAACCGCCCACCUAGCCUACGAUGGAUAGGGGUUCUGAGAGGAAGGUCCCCCACAUUGGAACUGAGACACGGUCCAAACUCCUACGGGAGGCAGCAGUGAGGAAUAUUGGUCAAUGGGCGAGAGCCUGAACCAGCCAAGUAGCGUGAAGGAUGAAGGUCCCUACGGAUUGUAAACUUCUUUUAUAAGGGAAUAAAACGCUCCACGUGUGGAGCCUUGUAUGUACCUUAUGAAUA